UUUAAUCUUUCAUUGGAGUCUCAUUUCACAUUCUUCUGAUUCUUUCCUUAUUUACUAUGUUCCGCAUACCAAAACAGAGCAUAUUUCAACAAAUCUACCUAAUAUUUUUUUUUGUCGGCGGUCAAUAUCUCGUAAUGUCAAAACCUAAAAAAUAAAUAAAGACGUGACUAAAAUCAUAAGAGGCCCCAUUUGUUAUGUUCUGUGUAUUCUGUAAGCUCAAGAAAGUCGAAUCCGAACUGUAUGAAGGAAGAAAGAAAAGAAUAUAAAUAUGGGGUUAAGUUUAAAGUGGUUUCAGCUCUAAAUGUCGUCAAUGCAUACGUCAUCAUGAAGAAAUAAAUGAUAUGCCAAGUGGAUGAGUUUAGGAGGUCCACACAUGCGUCCUCAAUGACGUCCACCGCGACGAAACAAACACUUGCUUUCCUAAUUCUCUUUUGAUCAGUCAAUGUGUAUAUAUAGAUGUGCGAGAUGAAUCCAUUAUCCUCCACAAUCCAAGGAAACAAACUUUGUAAGUGUUUUUUUGAAAGAAAUCAACAAAAUCCGAAUUCAUGGAAAUGGAAAACGCUGUAGCGAAACAGAGUGUACCUCUUCUCACUCCCUAUAAGAUGGGAAGAUUCAAUCUUUCUCAUAGGUAAAUAAUUUUU
rnacentral:lncRNA from 1 species